ensembl:lncRNA
GGGAGAUUUCCUCAAGUUCUAGGAAUGAAGUUGAAGGCUCUGAUCUUCUGAAAAGAUUGAGUGUGCGUUGUGGGAAUGGAGCAAUUAAGAUAACAACAAGGAGGGCCAGGUUUUGCAGCAAAUCAACCGAACCUUGUGUCAGUGAGAUCAAAAUAGAACCAACAGGAACUUUAAUCUGUCUCUGCUACAGAGAGAUGAAAUCAGUGCAGGCUCCAUAAAAUAAGAGUAAUGGAAACUGUUCAAGGUUAUGAGUAUCUGCAACAACAAAGUGUCUCCCAUUAAGUGAUGCACUGAAGCUGUGCAGAUGAAGUUAUAUGCUCUGGUACCACAACGAGGUACAA